rnacentral:rRNA from 1 species
GACAGAGGGUGCAAACGUUGUUCGGAUUCAUUGGGCGUAAAGGGUGCGUAGGCGGCGCGGUAAGUCGGGUGUGAAAUCUCGGGGCUUAACUCCGAAACUGCAUUCGAUACUGCCGUGCUUGAGGACUGGAGAGGAGACUGGAAUUUACGGUGUAGCGGUGAAAUGCGUAGAUAUCGUAAGGAAGACCAGUGGCGAAGGCGGGUCUCUGGACAGUUCCUGACGCUGAGGCACGAAGGCCAGGGGAGCAAACGGG